GAUGAACGCUGGCGGCGUGCUUAACACAUGCAAGUCGAACGAGAAGUGAAGACGGAAACCUUCGGGCGGAAGGCUUUAUUUCGAGUGGCGGACGGGUGAGUAACGCGUGGGUAACCUGCCUCAUACAGGGGGAUAACAGUUGGAAACGACUGUUAAUACCGCAUAAGACCACAGCACCGCAUGGUGCGGGGGUAAAAACUCCGGUGGUAUGAGAUGGACCCGCGUUCGAUUAGCCAGUUGGCGAGGUAACGGCCCACCAAAGCGACGAUCGAUAGCCGAUCUGAGAGGAUGACCGGCCACAUUGGGACUGAGACACGGCCCAAACUCCUACGGGAGGCAGCAGUGGGGAAUAUUGCACAAUGGGGGAAACCCUGAUGCAGCGACGCCGCGUGAGUGAAGAAGUAUUUCGGUAUGUAAAGCUCUAUCAGCAGGGAAGAAAAUGACGGUACCUGAGUAAGAAGCCCCGGCUAACUACGUG
rnacentral:rRNA from 1 species